UACGUAGGGUGCGAGCGUUGUCCGGAUUUAUUGGGCGUAAAGAGCGUGUAGGCGGCCAAGCAGGUCCGCUGUGAAAACUCGAGGCUCAACCUCGAGACGUCGGUGGAAACCGUUUGGCUAGAGUCCGGAAGGGGAGAGUGGAAUUCCCGGUGUAGCGGUGAAAUGCGCAGAUAUCGGGAAGAACACCCGUGGCGAAGGCGGCUCUCUGGGACGGUACUGACGCUGAGACGCGAAAGCGUGGGGAGCGAACAGG
rnacentral:rRNA from 1 species